AUUGAACGCUGGCGGCAUGCUUUACACAUGCAAGUCGAGCGGCAGCGCGGGGGCAACCCUGGCGGCGAGCGGCGAACGGGUGAGUAAUGCAUCGGAACGUGUCCCGUGGUGGGGGAUAACCCGGCGAAAGCCGGGCUAAUACCGCAUAUGCUCUGAGGAGGAAAGUGGGGGACCCGCAAGGGCCUCACGCCAUGGGAGCGGCCGAUGUCCGAUUAGCUUGUUGGUGGGGUAAGGCUUACCAAGGCGACGAUCGGUAGCUGGUCUGAGAGGAUGAUCAGCCACACUGGGACUGAGACACGGCCCAGACUCCUACGGGAGCAGCAGUGGGGAAUUUGGACAAUGGGGGCAACCCUGAUCCAGCCAUGCCGCGUGCGGGAAGAAGGCCU
rnacentral:rRNA from 1 species